AUUGAACGCUGGCGGCGCGCUUAACACAUGCAAGUCGAGCGAGAACCGGGGCUUCGGCCCCGGGGAAAGCGGCGAACGGGUGAGUAACACGUGAGUAAUCCACCCUCGGUACCGGGAUAGCCCGGGGAAACCCGGAUUAAUACCGGAUAGCCCAUCCGCCCUUCGGGGCGGCUGGAAAAGGUAGCUUCGGCCUCCGACCGAGGACGAGCUCGCGGCGGAUUAGUUUGUUGGUGGGGUAACGGCCUACCAAGGCGACGAUCCGUAGCUGGUCUGAGAGGACGAUCAGCCACACUGGGACUGAGACACGGCCCAGACUCCUACGGGAGGCAGCAGUGGGGAAUCUUGCGCAAUGGGCGACAGCCUGACGCAGCGACGCCGCGUGCGGGAAGAAGGCCUUCGGGUUGUAAACCGCUUUCAGGAGGGACGAAGCCACUCGGGUUAAUAGCCCAGAGGGUGACGGUACCUCCAGAAGAAGCCCCGGCUAACUACGUGCCAGCCGCCGCGGUAA
rnacentral:rRNA from 1 species